rnacentral:lncRNA from 1 species
CCAGGUCCCAGGUUUCCAUGCGUAACUUCCGGAGGGCACCAGGCAACGAGCAAACAAGCCCCAAGCCCCUCGCCUGAAACAGCCGCCGAUUCCUAGGUCCCUGCGCCUCCCGCCUUGGUGGGUGUCACAGAGGCAUGCAGGAGUUCUAAACAUCCCCAACACCAGCUCUUUGGGGUCUCCUGGCAGUGCAAUGAGGCGGGGGCCACGAACACUGGAACUCGACAGCCAGGGAAACUGAGGAACACAGAGACGAAGCAAAGUGUUCCAGCCCUCAUACCUGGAAGUAGCAGAGCAAAUUCUGAACGCAGUUGGCUCUGGAGUCCACACUGCUAAGAGCCAUGCCACUCACUAAUUCCUGUUCCUCCUUGACGACUCGGGUCAAAUGCCACCUUUUUAUGGAACAUCUCAAUGUCAUUAGAAAUAGAUGUUCCCGCUCCGUGAUCCUGCAGUACUCAAACACACUUCUCCUGCGUCACUCAUCUUGUUUUGUCUUGGUUUGGUCCAUGCCGUGGCAAACUUCCCAAGCACUGGUACAUAACUCAAUCCUAUUUGAACAUGAUAACUGGCACAGGCUGUGGAAUAUUUAGAGGCGGCCAAAGCAGACCUCAUUCCAGGGAUGGCCGUGAAGUCCUCAGCUGCAGUAAUUUAUUAUUCCUUGCAACAAAUGAUUAAACCAAUUCUCUGAUUAAUCAGAAUUGUACUUUGGAACUAACAACAUGAGACCAGAAUUUUAAAUCACGGUAUGCAGACUGUGGCAAUAUAAAGAAGAGGAUUGAAAAAUUAAUUCUAGAAGAAAUAUUUAGCAAAUAAUCAUCAAUCUUCCCUCGGACUUCAUGAAAGAUCAAAGCCGCACUCAAGCGAACUUUAAAACAUAUGCCUUGCCAAGCAGCAAUCUUUCCAUGCGUGCACUGAGUGACUGAGCCACGCCUCCUUGAAGAAAUUCCGCCACGUUGGUGGCCCUGCCCAGCCACACUUCCGCCUCUGGUCACCACAGUGCUUACUUCCGGCCGGCGCCCCCUCUUCAGCCCUGAAUGUAUUGCUGGAGGGUGGGUGGGGUCACUCAGGCUUAGCAGACCACAGGCCUCAUGUUAUUGUGGUCUAUGAGGACCGCGCAUUAUCACCACAUGAUCCUUGUGCAUCAGCAUCCCAUCGUGUUAUCCUGCUGCGUGAGAAGAAAAGCCAUCCCAACAUUUAUAUUAGCCAGGUAUUCAAAGGUGGAAAAACAGGAUUAAGGUGGAUUUGCAUACUUCAUGAGGAUAAAUUGUGGAAGUGGAUAUCAUUCUAUAGAUUCUGUAAAAAUAAACAUUAUGGAAAGAUGUAAACAAAACUAAAACGGCGAGGACCUCAAAUGUCUAACGUGUCACCCUCCCGCUCAUGCCAGGCAUCUUUUCCAAUGAAGAGGAGGCAUGGACAGUAGUAAGAUUCUCACCCUGGCAGUCCUGUGGGCUUCCAACUUGCAAGGUUAUGGAUUUUGAAGUCCACCUCUCUACCACAGCCAAACUGUGCUCCCAGGUCUCUUUCUGUGCUUCCACUGAGCAUAUUCUGUUCUCCAGCCUCUGAACUUUCUCUCUUCUGGACUUGGCUACAUCUCUCCAUGCUUGCCUUGUUUCCCUGUUGGCUCUUCUGCACCAUCUCAGUGCUUUGUCUCCAGCCCUUUAGAUUACUUCAGUUUUAUGGUUGUGACGCUAAUGUCUUGUCCCUCAAUGUGGAUUUAUAGGACUCAAAAUGUUCCUGUCUUUUCUUCAUGACUCACUGCAGUGCACACUAUGAGCUAAUCACUGGGUCCACAAAGUAACUUUCACAUCUUCAACCCAUCCCCAAACACCUGGUGCCCGGCCCCACUGUGCUCUCGGUUGCCUACUAGGAAGAUUGAAGUCUACUGAAACCUCCUAGGCAGGAAAGCAAGUUCCUGUCGGGAUUCCUUCAGUUCCCUCCCUUCCAUAACAAGAAUCUGUGUGUCCCCUAUUC